AACGCACCUUGCGCCCUUUGGUAAUCCGAGGGGCAUGCCUGUUUGAGUGUCUUGAAGCCCUCAAACCCAGAGGUCUCUGUAAUGGAGUGCCUCCUGAGGUUUGGACUUGGACUGAUUGCUGGUCGCCCCCGUGGCGUCGGCUCGUCUGAAAUGCAUUAGCUGGCUGCUGAGGUUGGCGAACCGGUGUGAUAAGUGUCACCCGCCGGUAAGCCUCCUUGCUGCGCAGUCGCUUCUAAUGGUCUCUGCGAGACAAUUUUAAGUGUUUGACCUCAAAUCAGGUAGGACUACCCGCUGAACUUAA
rnacentral:rRNA from 1 species